rnacentral:rRNA from 1 species
AUUGAACGCUGGCGGCAUGCUUUACACAUGCAAGUCGAACGGCAGCACGGGAGCGAUCCUGGUGGCGAGUGGCGAACGGGUGAGUAAUGUAUCGGAACAUGCCCAGUCGUGGGGGAUAACGCAGCGAAAGUUGUGCUAAUACCGCAUACGAUCUAUGGAUGAAAGCGGGGGAUCGCAAGACCUCGCGCGAUUGGAGUGGCCGAUAUCAGAUUAGGUAGUUGGUGGGGUAAAGGCCCACCAAGCCGACGAUCUGUAGCUGGUCUGAGAGGACGGCCAUCCACACUGGACUGAGACACGGCCCAGACUCCUACGGGAGGCAGCAGUGGGGAAUUUUGGACAAUGGGCGCAAGCCUGAUCCAGCAAUGCCGCGUGCAGGAUGAAGGCCUUCGGGUUGUAAACUGCUUUUGUAUGGAACGAAAAGACUCUCUCUAAUAAAGGGGGUUGAUGACGGUACCAUGAGAAUAAGCACCGGCUAACUACGUGCCAGCCGCCGCCGUAA